AGAAUCAACGCUGGCGGCGUGCCUAACACAUGCAAGUCGAACGAGAAAGUGGAGCAAUCCAUGAGUAAAGUGGCGCACGGGUGAGUAACACGUGACUAACCUACCCUUGAGUGGGGAAUAACUGAGGGAAACCUUAGCUAAUACCGCAUAACACCUACGGGUCAAAGGAGCAAUUCGCUUAAGGAGGGGGUCGCGGCAGAUUAGCUAGUUGGCGGGGUAAUGGCCCACCAAGGCAGUGAUCUGUA
rnacentral:rRNA from 1 species